AGCAGCCGCGGUAAUUCCAGCUCCAAUAGCGUAUAUUAAAGUUGUUGCAGUUAAAAAGCUCGUAGUUGAAUUUCGGGGUUAGUAGGUUGGUCAUGCCUCCGGUAUGUACUGGUCUCACUGAUUCCUCCUUCCUUAUGAACCGUAAUGCCAUUAAUUUGGUGUUGCGGGGAAUUUGGACUGUUACUUUGAAAAAAUUAGAGUGUUUAAAGCAAGCUAACGCUUGAAUACAUUAGCAUGGAAUAAUGAAAUAGGACGUUCGAUCUUAUUUUGUUGGUUUCUAGGAUUGACGUAAUGAUUAAUAGGGAUAGUUGGGGGCAUUAGUAUUCAAUUGUCAGAGGUGAAAUUCUUGGAUUUAUUGAAGACUAACUACUGCGAAAGCAUUUGCCAAGGAUGUUUUCAUUAAUCAAGAACGAAAGUUAGGGAUCGAAGACGAUCAGAUACCGUCGUAGU
rnacentral:rRNA from 1 species